rnacentral:rRNA from 1 species
UACGGAGGAUCCAAGCGUUAUCCGGAAUCAUUGGGUUUAAAGGGUCCGUAGGCGGUCUUGUAAGUCAGUGGUGAAAGCCCAUCGCUCAACGGUGGAACGGCCAUUGAUACUGCUGGACUUGAAUUAUUAGGAAGUAACUAGAAUAUGUAGUGUAGCGGUGAAAUGCUUAGAGAUUACAUGGAAUACCAAUUGCGAAGGCAGGUUACUACUAAUUGAUUGACGCUGAUGGACGAAAGCGUGGGGAGCGAACAGG